UCUUUCCUGGCAAGCUCUUGGCACCCAGGAUUUCCGUGUCCCCCGCUCCAGGACCUCCUCCAGUCCUGUCCUCACAAGGCUUCCCAGACAGGGGGCUUUUAGACCUUUUCCAUGAUGGGACAGGAAACCUCCUAUCUUUUCCUGAUGCUGCAGGAUUUCUCAGAAGUACGGGCAGCUUGCCCUAUUUGGCACAAACUAGUAUAUUUUGCAUUGUUCUUUAAUGUUGGAAUUUUCCACAAAACAGAAAUUUCAAGUUUUAGCCAGCUUCAGUGCAUGCUGCUGGAGCAUUUUCUCUGGAGGAUUUUCACCUUGGCCAUUACAAACUUGUAUUCCAGCUCUGAACUAUUUGCUACAUUUUCAUCCACAGCUUCCUCCUAUAACCUGUCCAUCUCAUACAGAUUAGAGAACUGACUAGUAAUACUUUUGCCCCCAAAAUAAAGGUCAGUAACUGUAAUGAAUUUUAUUUAAAUUUGAGUAUAGAGCAAGCAAAUAGAAAUGGUUUUAAAGGUUGUGACCUGAGGCAGGGUACAGAAAGCAUUAUGCCAAAGCUGAACUGCUCUGGGCAGUUUCACACUGAAGGUAUCUCACAGCAAAGGAGAGGGCAGGAAAAUGAAACACGUUUAGAGAUGGCAAUGAUCAAAACAGCACUAGUCUGAAGAUAAAGUAAGCAAUAAUUAGUCUGUAUUAUUACUUAACAAAAGCAUUUAAUAGCUCCCACAUAUGAGUUGAGGUUUUGUUUUACUCCUGUGGCCAGAGCUGAAGCUGCUGUAAGCCACUGCUGAUCUUUGCUGGGGGUGAAUCCCUGCUCCUGCUCACCUGCCAGGGAGCAGCUCCUCAAAUCUGCACCAGUGAUGCACCACCACAGCCAGCAUUUGCAUUUUCGUGUGCCAGCCCCCAGCAGGAUACAGGACAGUGUUGACAGUCCCACCUCACAUCCAAGUAGAGGGUUAGAUGUGCCAUGGUGGAAACCACACCUUCAUGGCUGUUAAAGUCUCCUUUGGUGGACAUUCAGAUCAGACAGGGCAAAAUUCUGGUGGUCUGCAGGAAAUGCACAGCUCUCAGCUGGGAAACAGCCUGAGCUGCUCAGACCACUAGAGGGGCCGGUGCUGGCCCCUUGGUCAAGAAAAAAUCUCAGAUUUCAUGCUUCAGAGUUGCUCUCUUGGCGUCUUUCCUGAGAGCUUGAUGCAUUUAUAGCUAUAAGCAUGCAAAUGGUGUGCAGUAUAAUCACCCUGCUUGGAAAUCCCAGCAGAGCAAAUUAUUUAACUCUGAAAAAAUCCUUGGAGUAACUGCUUUGCAAUAUAUGGAGCGGCGAGCAUUUCAGAAACAGUCUAACUAUGUAUUUAAACAGUCAUUACUGCCUUCUGGGUAAAUAACACAUGUUUUUGAAAUGGUCUCUAUACACAAUAGACACUAACACAAUAAAUCCUAAUUGCUCUGAAGGACCCAUUAGGCACUAUGAGGUCAAUAAAUGGUAGAGGUUUUUUGAAAGUCACUCACCAUGUUGUUACAUACGGCACAAUUGGAAAGUCCAUAAAUAAGUAUUUGCCCAAUGAAGAGUGAGGGCUUUGCCAGGGCCAUACUAAUUUAUCAUGUCAACUUCACUAUGGGGACUGUUUUCAAAGGCCAAUGUUAAAAAAAAGAAAAAAAAAUAAAGCAGUUGGGGGGGAGGGCAAAGGAUGGUGCGAUGUGUUUCAGAAAGUACGCAUCUGAGAAGUUUCACACUACAAAAUGCCCACCAAGAAAACCAAGUGUAAAGUUCACUGCCUCUUCCCCAUCUUGGCGUUGUGUGAAUCGCCAUGAGAUUUGAAGAGCCUUGUGGUUGUGGUGCUGGGGGCUGGGCUGUGGGGUGGCAGGGAUCUUACCUUGCCCCCCCGACCCUUUGGGCCAUGGCCCCAGUCCCGCCUCUGCCUUCUGUGCGCGGUGGUGGUGGUGGCACCUUGGGACAGGAACACCCCUUCUGUGCGCCAAGCAUGCCUCACAGACCCCGGUCCCAGUCCCUGUGGAGACCAACAAAGCUAAUCAUGUGCUUCUUAUGUGCUCACAUAAAUAAUAUUAAGUAAUAGUUGACAAGUCCAGCAAGAUGAGCUUCAAGUAAGCUGCUCUUGCCAAUUUUACAUUAAUCUUCCUUAUCUGAAGUUUUGGUUGCAUUUUACAAACCAGAGCACUCCCAUCAGCUGUUGGUACAAUCCGUGUCACUGUUAGAAACCAGGUUUUGCAUUAAUUCACUCAGAAAGUGUCCAGUGCCAUGUAGCUUCUUGAAUAUGACUCCAAUUUGGCAUGGGUUUGUUUUCUCACAGUAUUUUACAAUGUGUAAUCGUGCAGGUAGAUAUAAAAACAAACAGUAGUGAUGCAGGUUAGGGUUUUCAAGUUUAGCAAGGCUCUCAUGGUGAAAAGCAUUCAAGUGAUUUAAAUGUGAAUUCCUGUCCCCAGCCGACAGCUUUCAAAUCAUUUGAGCUCAUGAGAAAAUGCUGCCCCCCCGCUGCUGCUGCACUUGGGUAGGAUUCGGGUGCCAGGGUCCUGCUGCACGUGCUGGCAGCAAUUCUCCGCCUGCCCUGCCCGCUCUCAGAGCAUCACCCUGUGCCUCUGCCUGCCAGGUCCCUCCAGCAGGCAGGGACCAUGGUCCCUUAUAGGGCCCCCGCUCUGGGUUUGGGGCUGGCAGGUCAGUCUUGGUGCCAGGGCUUGCAGUGCUGGCAGCCCAAGGCCUCGUGUCUCAGGUGGGAACGCAAAGGGCUGGAAGCCGCCACAGCCCUUGCUAAGCCGUGGUUAUCAGGGGUCACUGCUAAUUUGAGCAGCGCCUGAGCUAGCACGGCCUCCAGCUGGGGUGAGUGACAGGCUGCCCGCCGGCACCAGGAGCCCCGAGUCACCUCCCUCCUGGCAGCCUGGGACUUGGCAGCAGCGCAGGCAAAACCGGGAUUUGCUGCGCCAAGCAAGAGGGGUUGAGGGCCAGGGUCGGCUCACAGGUCCUGCGGCAGGGCUGUGCUUCCAGCCCGGCUUGGGUACGGCAAGGUCGCUGCUCCCAGCUUUGUCCCUGCCCACAGCCUGGGCUGAAAGGCUUUUUGCAGAUGUCUGCUGGGUUCUCCAACAAGGGCAAGAGCAACAGCUGGCCUUUGCCAAGGAAGCUUGCUCAGCCUUUCCCUGAAGUGUUUUAAAAGUCACGAAACCACUUCAUCUCAGCUGGAAAUGCAACGAUGAGUGGAAGGGGCGUCCGUGAGGACACGCGCUGCCAGCCCCUGCCCCUGCCCUUCGGGCUGGAGCCAUGAGCAGGGCCAGGCCAGGCAUCUGAGCAGACCUGUCUGACGUGGUGGAGCUUCAUGAACGCCUCUGCACAGGGAUUAAAGAGAACAUCAUGAGAAAGCCAGGCCUAAGCAAUGCUGCUGCACUAUUGCCCUGCGGGAACAGCAGCUCAGGACAGGGCAGCAGCCCUCCCAGUGCUGAGCUCUGAACAGGGCGGGCUGCCCACACAUGGCUGCCAGCUCCACUGCGCAAGCUCUCACCUCAAUUGCUCUUGUGGCCUCUUCUGCUUGCUCAGGUUAGUCUUGAUGCCUAUAUUCUUAUCCAGAAGCAAUGUUCUUGACAUUUAUUCCAUCCCUGAAGUGCCUGUCCUCUUAACUGCCAAACCCACACUGAAGUAGUUCUCAUAAAAUUCCCUUAGAAACAAAAUACACAGUCUCCAUACACAAAGGUAGAGGCCUGCUGAAUCCCAAGGGCCAGAUGUAGCCCAGAAAUAGUGAUUUGCUCCCCAUAUGGACAACAAACACACAAUGCUUGUAUUAUGCUUGAUGGGCCACGAUGUAGCUACUGUCUAAGCAAACUAUUUUCCUACCAUUUGAGGAGUACUACCCUGGAACUGAAUGCAGCCAGAGGUUAGCUCACCACAGAUUAAAUAUUAUUCAGCUGUUGGGUAGCAAGAAACAAGCGUUCCUGUCACAAGAUACGUCAUUCCUGUAGGUGAACAGAAGGAGCAGAGGUAGGUAAUAUUCACUUUAAUCCUACUAUGAUUAUAAUUUUUAUUUUGCCUUUGUAAGAACAGAACUGCCAACAUUAGGAAUAGCAGAAGUUACAAGGUAUCUCCCCACGCCAGUUCAGCUCACAACAGACCCACCUAAAUAGAAUUCUCUCUGAAACAGUAUCACUGUUCUUCCUCUGAA